CCUGGCGGUUAUAAUUUUCUCAUUUGGUCUUCCUACAAUUGUGAGGAGGACUGUGCAUAUUUAAUAGCCAAUUUGCCAAUCGGACCGAUAUGUCGAAUUGAGACAAUACUUCUCGUACAUUAGGUCGGCCGUAGCCGACUCUUACACACUUUAGUCAAAAUCGAGGAUCAAGUCGGCCGAGGCUGGGUGAAGGCCCACAACAAUCUCC
rnacentral:lncRNA from 1 species